GUCUACGGCCAUGCCACCCUGAACAAGCUCCAUCAUGUCUGAUCUCGGAAGCUAAGAAGGGUCGGGCCUGGUUAGUAUUUGGAUGGGAGACCGCCUAGGAAGACCAGGUGCUGUAGGCA
rnacentral:rRNA from 1 species